rnacentral:rRNA from 1 species
AUGGUUGUCGUCAGCUCGUGUCGUGAGAUGUUGGGUUAAGUCCCGCAACGAGCGCAACCCUUAAGCUUAGUUGCCAUCAUUAAGUUGGGCACUCUAGGUUGACUGCCGGUGACAAACCGGAGGAAGGUGGGGAUGACGUCAAAUCAUCAUGCCCCUUAUGAUUUGGGCUACACACGUGCUACAAUGGACAAUACAAAGGGCAGCUAAACCGCGAGGUCAUGCAAAUCCCAUAAAGUUGUUCUCAGUUCGGAUUGUAGUCUGCAACUCGACUACAUGAAGCUGGAAUCGCUAGUAAUCGUAGAUCAGCAUGCUACGGUGAAUACGUUCCCGGGUCUUGUACACACCGCCCGUCACACCACGAGAGUUUGUAACACCCGAAGCCGGUGGAGUAACCAUUUAUGGAGCUAGCCGUCGAAGGUGGGACAAAUGAUUGGGGUGAAGUCGUAACAAGGUAGCCGUAUCGGAAGGUGCGGUUGGAUCACCUC